rnacentral:rRNA from 1 species
CCUACGGGAGACUGCAGUAGGGAAUCUUCCACAAUGGGCGAAAGCCUGAUGGAGCAACGCCGCGUGGGUGAAGAAGGUCUUCGGAUCGUAAAACCCUGUUGUCAGAGAAGAAAGUGCGUGAGAGUAACUGUUCACGUUUCGACGGUAUCUAACCAGAAAGCCACGGCUAACUACGUGCACGCAGCCGCGGUAAUACGUAGGUGGCAAGCGUUAUCCGGAUUUAUUGGGCGUAAAGGGAACGCAGGCGGUCUUUUAAGUCUGAUGUGAAAGCCUUCGGCUUAACCGGAGUAGUGCAUUGGAAACUGGGAGACUUGAGUGCAGAAGAGGAGAGUGGAACGCCAUGUGUAGCGGUGAAAUGCGUAGAUAUAUGGAAGAACACCAGUGGCGAAAGCGGCUCUCUGUUCUGUAACUGACGCUGAGGUUCGAAAGCGUGGGUAGCAAACAGGAUUAGAUACCCUGGUAGUC